AACGAACGCUGGCGGCAUGCCUAACACAUGCAAGUCGAACGAGAUCUUCGGGUCUAGUGGCGCACGGGUGCGUAACGCGUGGGAAUCUGCCCUUUGGUUCGGAAUAACAGUUGGAAACGACUGCUAAUACCGGAUGAUGACGAAAGUCCAAAGAUUUAUCGCCAGAGGAUGAGCCCGCGUAGGAUUAGCUAAUUGGUUUGGUAAAGGCGCACCAAGGCGACGAUCCUUGGCUGGUCUGAGAGGAUGAUCAGCCACACUGGAACUGAGACACGGCCCAAACCCUUAGGGAGGCAGCAGUGGGGAAUAUUGGACAAUGGGCGAAAGCCUGAUCCAGCAAUGCCGCGUGAGUGAUGAAGGCCUUAGGGUUGUAAAGCUCUUUUACCCGGGAUGAUAAUGACAGUACCGGGAGAAUAAGCUCCGGCUAACUCCGUGCCAGCAGCCGCCGUAA
rnacentral:rRNA from 1 species